GCGGGAAUAGCUCAGUUGGUAGAGCAUAACCUUGCCAAGGNNAAGGUUGGGGUCGCGAGUUCGAGUCUCGUUUCCCGCUCCA
rnacentral:tRNA from 1 species